rnacentral:tRNA from 1 species
UAGUUUAAAUAAAACAAAUGAUUUCGACUCAUUAGAUUAUGAUGACC